UGGUAUCAAUAAGACUAAAUGAAAAGAACAUUUAUAAUAGAUGAUUUAUUAACAUACAUACAACAAGGGAAGCUACAUACGAAGCAAUUUGUUUUGAUAAAUAAAUGACCCAUGCCACCCUAUGCUAUGGACCUAUGGUUACAGAACGACGAUAAUACAAUUAACAAAGGUUACAAAUGUGAAAAAAUAAUGAGGCGGCGUUCUUUUUUAGAUUUAGUUUUUUGCAGAGUAUUGUGUGACUUCACACAAAGGAAAAGUCGCAUCCUUACAAACAGACCCCGUACGUAGUCUAAAGGAAAGUUUUUGCAGGGAUGUGAGAAUGGAAUUUUGCUUAAUUCGGUAAGUAUUUGAAAACCAACCCGGGCCCCAGUGGAAUAACGUUCAAAAAGGCCGUUGGAGAACUGGUGUUCCAACUGGGCAAUGUAAUACACAAAAUUAGUUGCAGGCAUUGUUAGAUUACCAAAAUCUGAGCUUUCAUCUAAAUUUUUGUAGUGACAGAAUAAGGUAUCUUCGGAAAUAGUUUGGCAGGCCUGUGCAUAUUGUUCACAACUAGUGCAUGAAUGGCGCUGCAAGCAUUUUUGCAUUAAGUAUCCGGAAAUGUAUCUUAAAAUAUUUUGCUCCGGCAACUCCAAGGAACGGUAAUCUGUGGAAUCUACUUAUUUAAGGGGGCCAGAAUCUAGAGCAGUCAAAACAGUUGCUAAAUCUGGCAUGCAAUUGCCGGUUGUGGGUGGUAAUAAGAAUUUUGUGCAGAACAAUUUUCUGAAUGCCCAAACGAACUGUAUUGGUGUGGGGUUUAUACAAUUGCCACUUUGUUUUCGCACCGUUCCGAAAAAAUUUUCUAGAAAAUCUUGAUUUAAGCGCCUUGUGGGUAAGGGUUGGCUUAGAGAUCCGUGAAGCUGCAUCACUCCUUUAAUUGUUACCUGCCAACAUGCCAUCGAUUUAAUACGACGAGUUACGUCCGCGUUUCUGUCAUCAACGACAGCAGUUGUUUUAAAAAAGUGCAGCAUUUUUUCAAGGUGGUUUUUUUGCAAUUCUGAUCCUACAAAAGCAGAUUUAAAGGACUCUACAUUUGUUACCAAGCCAACGCUGCAGUUGAUAGCAGUCCUAGAGACAUCUCGGUUUCCAUACCAGAUGCCACGGUGUGGCUAAACAACUGGGUGGCAAAUUUAACCUUCAUCUUGUCAAACUGGCCAGGACUUAUGUGAACCGACUGCAGUUUAGGAGCAAAUUUGAAAGGCUUUGAUGAGAUGGCACACAUCAAAAAUGUAAAAAAUGCGAUCUGUACAUAUACCCUUACAAUAAAAAUAGGGUGUUUCGGGCGUCACGUUUAAGCUCGCAGCGACCUGCUGAAAAUUGGUGCCCAAGUCUGAAAUGACCGCUUUCACUUGGAGGCCGAUAGCGUACAACUUGUUGAUAACAGCAAACAGUAAUGUUUGCAAUUCCCUAGCAUUACACUGUGUAUUAACAAAUACAUAAGCUAGUGCCUGCUUCCAAUUAUCAAAAAUACCGCGCGCCAUUAUUGUUAGAACAUUAUUGGCAGGCUUGUAUUCUUUGCCAUCUACUUGGUGAAAGCCCACGAUUUGAUCUUUGCUUACAUCAUAAUACAAAUUUGCUUUUAAGCUCAUCUCGUCCAUACAAAUAACACACUGCCGGGCUUCUGCAUUUAAAUUCAAGACCUUCAGCCGCAACAUUUCAAACACGGUCUCAUCUAUUCCCGGUUCUAUCCGUAUUUUAGAAGUAAAUCGUUGCAACGUUCUGAUGCUUGGUAGCAUAAAAGUGGUUUCCACCUCGUUCUGCCUCUCCAGCAUCUCUACCUCCGCACCUACGGGCUCUGUUGUCUGCGACGCCUGCCGCAGUUUUCGUCUGAGGGCUUGCUUCCGUGGAGAAUUACUCGAUAACGCUGUCCCAGUUUGUGUUGCGACACUUUUUCCGGUCGGUGAUGCAAAUUGCUGCUCAUGCACAGAUGUGGAAGGCCCGGCCUCUUCUUGUGGCGGCGGGGUGGCAGCUACUUCUUCCCUGCUGGUUCCCGGAAGCACACAGGAACUUUGCUCUUGAUGUGACAGAUAUCAUAAUACACCAGUAUUUGGAUCAUUUGUACCUGACUCUUUCUGGUGAGGGAUUGCGUCUCCACGAAGGGCCUUUUUUUGAGGAUGUGUGAACAUGUUGUCUGCAAAAUGAUCUGCACAUAGGCGGAAAUUGCCGUGGUCCUUCAUUUCACGGGUUAACAAGUCUACUCGCCCACUUGCAGUGGCCCAUAUUUUGAACCUGCAUAAAAAUUAUGCGUAUAAAUCGUAAUAUGUGGGGCAUUCCACGCCAAAUCGGACGGUUUGAGAAAUUUUUUGUUUUGAUUUCCUCAAUUUUGUGAUAUGUUUUAGUACCCCUUAAGGUAGCAUUUUUGGUAAAUUUUGAGAUUUUUUUGAUUACCCGUUCAAAAGAUAUCGACUUUCUAAAAAAAUUGCUGUUUUUUUAGAUUUUUGGGCAUAAUUUCUGCAAAAAUGGUUCAAAUUUAACCAUUUUUUUUUAACAUUUGGGUUUUUAAAUGGCCUUUAUAGAAAAACAUUUAAAAAAAACUUUUUCAAGAUUGUUUCAUAAUGAUUUUUUUAUGUUAGAUUUUAAUUCGAGUUUUAAAAUUUUUUUAUAUCCUUCGCUUUUUUCAAAAUUUUUUAUUUUAAACUUCUAUUUAUAUCUCAAUUUUUAAUCCCGGUUCGGUAAUGGGAUCUCAAAAUUAGAUUUUUUUUAAUUAUUAAAAAUAAAAAAAAUAUUUUUUCGUAAAUUAUUUUACGUAUUUUUGAUUUUUGAAAUUGUACACGCAUUUUUUAAGUAUUAUAAAUAAAUUUUAAUACUGUUUCAUUAUUAUUAUUAAGUGUUUAAAGUCAAUAAAUACCAAUUAACUUUAUUGGUAAAUACAAUUACCACUGUCAUUUUCAUUUAAGGGGUACUAACACAUCACAAAAUUGAGGAAAUAAAAAAAAAAUAUUCUCAAACCGUCCGAUUUGGCGUGGAAUGCCCCAUGUACAUUCAAAACGAUUUUAUAUUAAUGAGACCGCACUGUAAUUAAUUGUGUAAAUCUUGUCGGUACAUUUUUUAUGUAUCUAUUUUUAGAGUAACUUACCUUUUUGCUUCUUUUGGGAAACGAAAGAAGCUUUUAUUUCCAUCCGCAGUAGAAUUUGUGCACCCCGCAGCACUACACAGGCGUCUUUUAGGCAUUCUAAUUGUCUUUUUUCAAUUGCACUAUCACUAAUAUGUAUACUACACUAAAGGCUACGUAACUAAAUCUAAGAAUAAUAUUAAUGCACUAUAUACUAUAUACAAAAAAAGUCAAAAAGUUCCAAACUAAAAAAAGCCACAAAAUUCGCAAAUCUACAAAAUCGUACUGUACUCGCACUGAUCUGCUUUGCGAAUGCUUAUUACUUUCUGCGUAGUGCAGAUUCUGCAUUUUUUAAGUGUUAAUGUAAACAUAACUUUGCACUUCAUAAGUGCCCGCACGUGUGUUCUAAUAUUUACGGAAACUUUCUUUUUAUAAUUAUUACUUUUGGGCUUAGUUGUAAAUUUUUUAAAUGUAAUAAUUUACGUUUCAGCUAUUACCAAAUAUAUUUUUACAUACCUUUGAAGAGUUUUUAAUAGCUACUUAGUUAUUUCACUAAGUAAUAUGUACCUACCUUUUUUUUUGUCAGAAUAAUGAGGCUUCUCCUAUAACUUUUUUAAAAUCAUUGCAACAGGUUUUUAUCAAAAACCAAUUGCAGUUAUUCCACAGCAAAAAAAAUUAUAUGCUUUCAGCGUUACCACCAUUUUUUAGAAUCAGCUCAACAUUGCAAUUUAUUAAUUUUUUUCUUGGGUUAAUGAACAACUUUUCAUUUUUAUCUUUUUAUUCAUUAAAUUACAAUAACAUUCAAUUAAAAAAGCAGCAUUGUAGCGAGAUAAUGACUAUUCCAAUAUACAUGCUUAUUUCAAAUCGCGCGCCUCAAAAAGUUCGUUGAGGGCGCCCCCCACUUUUUAGUCGUGUUCACGAAUUCUCUGUCCGCGUCGCUUCUCCUCUGUUCUCUGUUUAAACAUUGUUUGCACGAAUUCAGUCAGUAAGACGCGACUUGUGCUCGAAAGGGGAUGUGUUGAAAGCUCGGCCAAAGCUCAUACCAUGCUUCCAGUGACAGCUCACGUGGUGUGUGAAUGUGAGUGUGGUUUUGAUUUGUGUAUCCCUGGUGGAUAAUUGUACACGGAUUACGCUUUUUUGUGGAGAUUUUCUAUGGCUUAGAUGUGCCCGCGCGGUCCAUUUUGAGGAAUCAGCUCUAAGGACGAUGUAAAAGAAGAGCUGACGGUUUCAGAAGGCCCAAGUCGUACAUCACCUCUUGUGUAGCAGAGACGUGAUUCAAUGUCAACUGGUUCAAGGCUUUCCUGGAGGUUCAGCAUUUGGGACAAAUAAAAUUUGGGAAAAAAAAUUGGCUUGGUUUAUUUCUUCCUCCCUCACUAAUGAUUGCAAAACAGGCUGUAGGAGAGAUAAAUCAUUUCUGAUUAAUCGACGCAUUUGACUUUAGUUUUAAGGCAUGCAUGCCAGCAUGUAAUAAAUAACGUUAGAAGGAAGGUGUCGAUGGACUUGACUUUGAUGAAGGCGGCUGCUUUACCGCCACUCGGCUGGAUAUCGACGUCCUGGGGAUGUUGUAAUUAAAAAUAGUGUCGCAUCACUGCGAUACCCAUCACAAAACUACUUUUGUCUUAAAUUCUCAUUAGUUUCGAGAGUUAUGUAAGGCUGUUUGUUAUCGGGCUCGAUUGGACUAUUGACAGAUCCUGGUGGAUGGGGUUUAGAAGGGAAAGGUAUUUUCAUGUAAACUGAACGCUCACUUCCGGUACUUUUUUCUUGAGUCGUGAGCGUAAACCAUAUUUGUUUUUAAUUGAAACUGUGUGUGGAACGAAUUCAAGGACCUUCGGUUGGUUUUGUUUUUAUAUAUUAUUCUCGAAUUAGUUAAACUGUAAUAUCCUUAUUAUUAAAACAUCGCAAAAUAAGGUUUCACCUCUCAAUUUUUUAAAAAAUUGAAGAGGGUGAGAUAAUUGUUAACCUUUAGCUAUUUUCAAGUCUCAGUGUGAUUUUAACGUUUACUGUUAAAUAACCGUACCUAAUUAUAAUUAUUAAAUUUUUUCUAUGCAUGUGAAUUUUUUCAAAAUUUUUCUACAAUUCCCUAUAAUUAGAAUUAAUUACUUAAUAGAGUCGCUAAAAAACAAGUAUGUUUU